GUUCCCGUGACGUCAGCGUCCCGGGGAAGUGGGCGGGAGGGGCGGGGCCGCGGGGGACGAAGCGACCGCUGAUUGGUGCGCGUUCCCCAUUCACACCGAGCACAAUGGACUAUGGGCGCGCGCACCACAGUUCCCUGCACCAGCAGCUCGCUGCAGCCGGACGGUUACGUCGUUCGCUUCAGGGAACCCCCACCGCCCCGCGCCUUGAGACCUCCGAUUGGAGCCGUGGGCGCCGCCCAGGCCCCGCUGCAGCCAGAGGAAGGCAGGAUAGGAGAGAACCUUCUGUUGGAUGAAAUAAAAGCAAACACUGGGCCUUCUGCGCUGCCUCCACCUCCACGCCCCUCCCGCGCCUGCCGCCCUCCCGGAUUGCACGGAAAUAGCUUCUCCAGGCUCCUG